AGUUAACGUAGCAAAGCCAGGCCUUGCUAAAGAUCUAAGCCCUUUCUACAGAGGUUCAAAUCCUCUCGUUAACU
rnacentral:tRNA from 5 species